rnacentral:rRNA from 1 species
AUUGAACGCUGGCGGCAGGCCUAACACAUGCAAGUCGAGCGGGGUUUUCGGACCUAGCGGCGGACGGGUGAGUAAUGCGUAGGAAGCUACCCGAUAGAGGGGGAUACCAGUUGGAAACGACUGUUAAUACCGCAUAAUGUCUACGGACCAAAGUGUGGGACCUUCGGGCCACAUGCUAUCGGAUGCGCCUACGUGGGAUUAGCUAGUUGGUGAGGUAAUGGCUCACCAAGGCGACGAUCCCUAGCUGGUUUGAGAGGAUGAUCAGCCACACUGGAACUGAGACACGGUCCAGACUCCUACGGGAGGCAGCAGUGGGGAAUAUUGGACAAUGGGCGCAAGCCUGAUCCAGCCAUGCUGCGUGUGUGAAGAAGGCCUUCGGGUUGUAAAGCACUUUCAGUAGGGAGGAAGCGUUGUGUGUUAAUAGUACACAGCGUUGACGUUACCUACAGAAGAAGCACCGGCUAACUCUGUGCCAGCCGCCGCAGUAAAAA